AGGGCGGGACACGUGAUAUCCUGUCUGAAUAUGGGGGGACCAUCCUCCAAGGCUAAAUACUACUGACUGACCGAUAGUGAACCAGUACCGUGAGGGAAAGGCGAAAAGAACCCCUGUGAGGGGAGUGAAAUAGAACCUGAAACCGUGUACGUACAAGCAGUAGGAGCAGGCUUUGUCCUGUGACUGCGUACCUUUUGUAUAAUGGGUCAGCGACUUAUAUUCAGUGGCAAGGUUAACCAUCUAGGGGAGCCGUAGGGAAACCGAGUCUUAACUGGGCGUUCAGUCUCUGGAUAUAGACCCGAAACCAGGUGAUCUAGCCAUGGGCAGGUUGAAGGUUGAGUAACAUCAACUGGAGGACCGAACCGACUAAUGUUGAAAAAUUAGCGGAUGACUUGUGGCUAGGGGUGAAAGGCCAAUCAAACCUGGAGAUAGCUGGUUCUCCCCGAAAGCUAUUUAGGUAGCGCCUCGGACGAAUACUACUGGGGGUAGAGCACUGUUAAGGCUAGGGGGUCAUCCCGACUUACCAACCCUUUGCAAACUCCGAAUACCAGUAAGUACUAUCCGGGAGACACACGGCGGGUGCUAACGUCCGUCGUGGAGAGGGAAACAACCCAGACCGCCAGCUAAGGUCCCAAAUUACUACUAAGUGGGAAACGAUGUGGGAAGGCUCAGACAGCCAGGAUGUUGGCUUAGAAGCAGCCAUCAUUUAAAGAAAGCGUAAUAGCUCACUGGUCGAGUCGGCCUGCGCGGAAGAUGUAACGGGGCUAAGUAGUAAACCGAAGCUGCGGCAAUGUGCUUUUGCACAUUGGGUAGGGGAGCGUUCUGUAAGCGGUUGAAGGUGUGUGGUAACGCAUGCUGGACGUAUCAGAAGUGCGAAUGCUGACAUGAGUAACGAUAAAGGGGGUGAAAAACCUCCUCGCCGGAAGACCAAGGGUUCCUGUCCAACGUUAAUCGGGGCAGGGUAAGUCGACCCCUAAGGCGAGGCCGAAAGGCGUAGUCGAUGGGAAACGGGUUAAUAUUCCCGUACUUCUUACAAUUGCGAUGGGGGGACGGAGAAGGCUAGGUGGGCCUGGCGACGGUUGUCCAGGUUCAAGUGCGUAGGCUUAAGAGUUAGGUAAAUCCGGCUCUUUUUAAGGCUGAGACACGACGUCGAGCACCUACGGGUGUGAAGUCAUUGAUGCCAUGCUUCCAGGAAAAGCCUCUAAGCUUCAGAUUGUAAGGAAUCGUACCCCAAACCGACACAGGUGGUCGGGUAGAGAAUACCAAGGCGCUUGAGAGAACUCGGGUGAAGGAACUAGGCAAAAUGGUACCGUAACUUCGGGAGAAGGUACGCUCUCGACGGUGAAGUCCCUCGCGGAUGGAGCUAUUGAGAGUCGCAGAUACCAGGUGGCUGCAACUGUUUAUUAAAAACACAGCACUGUGCAAAAUCGUAAGAUGACGUAUACGGUGUGACGCCUGCCCGGUGCCGGAAGGUUAAUUGAUGGGGUUAGACUUCGGUCGAAGCUCUUGAUCGAAGCCCCGGUAAACGGCGGCCGUAACUAUAACGGUCCUAAGGUAGCGAAAUUCCUUGUCGGGUAAGUUCCGACCUGCACGAAUGGCGUAAUGAUGGCCACGCUGUCUCCACCCGAGACUCAGUGAAAUUGAAAUCGCUGUGAAGAUGCAGUGUACCCGCGGCUAGACGGAAAGACCCCGUGAACCUUUACUACAGCUUGGCACUGAACAUUGACCCUACAUGUGUAGGAUAGGUGGGAGGCUUUGAAGCACGUACGCCAGUAUGUGUGGAGCCGUCCUUGAAAUACCACCCUUGUAGUGUUGAUGUUCUAACGUCGACCCCUUAUCGGGGUUGCGGACAGUGCCUGGUGGGUAGUUUGACUGGGGCGGUCUCCUCCCAAAGAGUAACGGAGGAGCACGAAGGUGGGCUAAUCACGGUUGGACAUCGUGAGGUUAGUGCAAUGGCAUAAGCCCGCUUGACUGCGAGAAUGACAAUUCGAGCAGGUGCGAAAGCAGGUCAUAGUGAUCCGGUGGUUCUGAAUGGAAGGGCCAUCGCUCAACGGAUAAAAGGUACUCCGGGGAUAACAGGCUGAUACCGCCCAAGAGUUCAUAUCGACGGCGGUGUUUGGCACCUCGAUGUCGGCUCAUCACAUCCUGGGGCUGAAGUCGGUCCCAAGGGUAUGGCUGUUCGCCAUUUAAAGUGGUACGCGAGCUGGGUUUAGAACGUCGUGAGACAGUUCGGUCCCUAUCUGCCGUGGGCGUUGGAAGAUUGAAGGGGGCUGCUCCUAGUACGAGAGGACCGGAGUGGACGAACCUCUGGUGUUCGGGUUGUGUCGCCAGACGCAUUGCCCGGUAGCUAAGUUCGGAAUCGAUAACCGCUGAAAGCAUCUAAGCGGGAAGCGAGCCCUGAGAUGAGUCUUCCCUGAUACUUUAAGUAUCCUAAAGGGUUGUCGGAGACUACGACGUUGAUAGGUCAGGUGUGUAAGUGCUGUGAGGCAUUGAGCUAACUGAUACUAAUUGCCCGUGAGGCUUAACCAU
rnacentral:rRNA from 1 species